rnacentral:lncRNA from 1 species
UUUUUGGUUUUCCUCCCCUAGCACUGGUUCUAAGGUGGUCACUGCUCAGGAGUUUCUGCUCUGGUAAGUGGUUCUUUCUGUAUUUGCCUGUCUUUCCAAUUUUAGGGACAUUGAUCUGUCCUAUGUCCUCACUUCUCUGAUGAAGAAUUGAAAAAAGAAUUGCUGAAUUUACAAUUUGCUCAGUUUUUUACUGGUAAAACAGAGUGAUGGCCUCUAAGGUCCUUAAACAUUGGACUGGAAACUGGAAGCCUCCAUUUUUCUCACUGUUUUUUUUUUCCAUCCUGCAUCUCCAAGUUUCUAUAUGGAUAUUUUUUAUGCUGAAAAAUUAUCACUAACAUUUAUUAUGGUGUAGGUCUAUUGCAGUGAAUUUUCUUAGCUUCUGUCAUCUGAAAAUAUCUUUCUUUUAUCUUGAUUUUUGAAGAAUUUUUAGUUGGAUACAGAAUUCUGUGGUGACAGUAUUGUUUCCUUUAAAGAUGUUCCAUUGUCUUGUGUCAUGUUUUCUGAUUUUCAGUUUCCAGUAUGCAGCCAGCCAUCAUUCAUAUCAUUGUCCCUGGCAUAUAUGUCAUUAUUGAGGAGACUGCUAUUAAGAUGUUCUUUCAGUUUAUUUUCAUUGAUUUGACUAUCAUAUGUCUAGGAGUGGUUUUCUCAGAUUGAUGUUUUCAUUAAAUUUGCAAAUUUUCAAUCAUUAUUUCCUCUCCAAACUUUUUUUUCUACUUGAUUCUCUAUCUCCUCCACUCCUGGGACUCAAUGCAUGGAUGUUAUAAACUUGAUAUUAUUUUAUGAUCAUUGAUAAUGUAUUCAUUUUUCUCUUUCUUUCAGCUUGAAUAUUUCUGUCACUUGCUCUUCCCAUUCACUGCUCCUUUCUUCUGUGAUGUUCUUAAGCCCCAGAUAGCUUAGAUAUUAUAUUUUUUAGUUCUAUAUUUUCUGCUUGGUUUUGUUUAGUGUUUGAAUAAUUCUUUUGAAAUAAUCCAUUUCUUUAUCUACUAUAUCCAUAAUUUUCUAUAAGUUCAUUAACACUAUUUAUAAAAGUUGUUUUACACACCCAAUCUGGCAAUUCCAAAAACUCAGGUCUUCUUUGAAUCUGUUUCUAUUGACUGUUUCUACAUCCUAAUUAGAAGUAUAAGUUCUCCUGUGUUAUUUCUAAUAAGUGCGAGUUCUCCCAGGAUGCAAGUUUCUCACUGGUGUAGAAAAAACUCUGACAAGUUUGAAAUGUCAGUUUUAGGGGGCAGUGUUCUGUGUCCUCACUAGAUGCCUCUAUUUUUUUGGCAUAGAACUUACCAAGGAAGUGAAACAGUAAGUCCAGAGAUGCUGGAGGUACUUGGGUGACUCUAGAAGUCUGAACAAUUUUGGAUAUUAAAUGCAGGAAAAUUUUCAGGGUUUAAUUCUAUAACCUACCUUCUCUCUAUAUACACAUUUAAUUGAUGAUCCUCUCCAUUCCUAUGGCUUUAGAUACUUCUACAUACUGUCAAAAUCAAAUCCAUUGCUAUAAUCCAAACCUUUCUCCUGUGUUCCAACUAUAUACGUUUCCAUUUGGAGGUUCUAAAGUUGCUUGCAACUGAGCAUGUUGAAAAUUUAAGAAAUAUACACAGUCUUUCUCUUUUUCUCUCUUACCCUUUCUAUUUUCUGCUAGACUUUAGCAUUUCAUAAUAAAAGUUUUUAAAAUAUUUUAUUAUUGUAUAUGUAACUUUUAUGUUUAUUAAAAAUAUUUGGGUACCAAUAUUAGAUUCCUAAGGUAUCAUUUGUUAAAUCAUCCAACAACAAGAUAAAAUAUUCACUUCCAAUAUCCAUGCUCUUCUUCUACUUUACAUUUUAAAUGAGUAUAGCAACAAAUAUUUAAUGUUUGUCUCAAAACUGUCCCUAAGAAAUGGCAAGUUGUACCCCUAGAAAAGUUCUCAUCUUUACUUCAUUAGACCAUCCAGUUGUGUCCCUUGGAAGGCCAGCUGCUAGGGACCAGUCUCAGGCUGUACCUUGUCUCCAGAACUGGGCUUACAGUUGAACUUUAUUUUUCAAUAGGUCAAUACUAUAGUUGAAAAGGCAGAAAAAACAUAAAAUAUGAAGUCAGGGAGAUGUGUAUUAAAAUUCCAACUCCAAAAUCCAUUAGUUGGUGCUCUGGUUUCAAAGUAGUUUGUCCUCUCUGAACUCAUGUUGAGACUUAGUCCCCAGUGGAACAGAGUGUCAAGAGGGAAUGAGAGUCUUAGGAGAUCAUUAGGUCCUUAAGAGCGUUUCAUGCCUUGCUCAUGGGAGUGGCUUCUCCUUACAGAGCAAGUCUGGCUCUCAGCCCUCAUCUCCUCUGCAUACUCUUGCCCUUCCUCUUUCCCACCAUGAUAUGAUGCAGUGUGAGAUGCUCACCAGAUGCAGCCACCCACUUCCAGAUCUGUGAGCCUCUGAAACUUCGAGCUAAAUAAACUUCUUUCCUUUAUAAAUUAUCCAGUCUCAGAUAUUGUGUUAAAGCAACAGCAAAUGUACUAAGAGAGUUGAGUAAGCUUAGAUAAUUCUGGCCUUUCCUUUCCUGAAAAAAGUGGAAAUAAUGGUACCUUCCUUGGAUGAUUGCUGUACUAAAUAAGAAUACUCCAGUAUCUGAUAUAUAGUUGGUGCCUUCUAAAUGCUAAUUUCUUCCCUACUCCUUUUCAUUCCAACCUCAAGGAAGUUAUGGGAAACAGUGGUAAAAAUCAUCAAGUAAAGCCACAAAAACAGAGUGAAAGGAAGGUCUAUAGAAAAAAAGAAAGAUAUCUGGAAGUGAAUAUUGUGCAUGUUUGUGUUUUCAUUGUCCCCCCUUUUUUUAAUCCUAGUUUGUAUAGGAAGAGAGAAGAAAACUAGAUUUUUUUUUUUUUUGCUAAGGCUGAUCACUUUCCACUGAAUCCAAGUGUUUUGCAAAAUUUCCCCCAGCAGAGAACAGCAUCUUACCCCUACUUUUCCAUAGCCUCACUGGAGCUUGCACGGGGUAGGGUGGGGGCGUUGUUCUCUGUGGGGAACAUUUCUUUCUGGAGGCAUCUUUCCUACUGGUAGACCUUGGGAGCUCAUGGAAAAAUCUAUCAACUGACCCUGGGAGAACAGCACCUCAGGCCUUUCUCAGAUCUGUAGCACCUACUUUCUACAGAAAAAGAGAGGCUAUCUGAAGAAGGUGAAUUUGGAAUCUGAAAGUAAAGAAUUCUUUAUUAUUAUAUUCAUGAGAUUUCUUGCCCCCAGUGGUUUACAUGGAAAUUUGAGAACAACACUGCCCUUCGGAAAGUGACUUCAGGAUUCCACAUGUCUUUUGACAUUGAGAUAUAAAAUGAAGUAGUGGUGUGCUGGAAAGAUGACUCUCUAGAGGGGGGACAGCCUCAUCCGUAUCAGCUGUUGAAUCUGUGGUGUCAUACUGCCACUGGGGCCAAUUACAAGCCUCUAGCGUGACUUUGGUGAGCAUGGAGUUGGAAAGGGCCAUGAUAAGCAGCCCUCUUGACCCAGGCAAUCUGGCUCUAGCACAACACUGAGCUUGAGGUUCAUGUUUGUGGAUCAUAGUUAUUGGCAAAUUCAGCACUUGUUGAAAAUAGACAUCAUCAAGUUCUAGAAUUCACUGCUUCUCAUUUCUAUGGUCUGCAUCUUGGCCAUUGUUUCUCCAGCUUUUUGAAGCAGCCCAGAAAAUCUCACCGCUACAGACCCCAGACCCUUUGACUUAAUGAAGAUUGAUGUCUUCAUUAGAUUUUGAAAAGGAAUGCUUGGACAGUUUAUUACCUGGUUGUUGGUGCCUAGUACUCUCUGUUCCAUUGCCCAUCUCCCCCACCUCCUGUGACACAUUCCUGAAAAUGCUCCAGGAAAAAAAUGUUACAGUCUUGGCAGAUCAGCCUCUCUGAUUGUGCAAUGUCCUUCCUGAGAAACCCCAUUCUCCAAAGGCAGCCAUUCUGGAACAGGAUGGAGAAAUAGGGGGCAGGUUGGCUCCCCAGAGGGCAGCACGGGAGGCAGAUGGCAAUGGACAGGGACAGAAUAAAUUUAUGGUAAAUGGCAUCUGUGGGUCUCUCACCAGCUCAUAGCUUUAGAAAAACUAUCAAAAGGUUCAUUGGAAAGAAGAAGAUGAAGAGCGGACUCUUCCAACUAUACCACUUUUAAUUCUUUUUGUCUCUUACAAGGCAAAUUCACAAAUAUUAUCUUGCUUGUUCCUCACAAUAGACUGGUGAGACAGUAUAAUAUUGUUUCUCUACAAACUGUAUCAAUACGUUAUAAAAUAUACUCAUGUAAUGUACAAUGUAAAUAUUAAUAAUGGAUAAUAAAUAUUAGCAUUUCCUCUUUACAGAUGAAGACAGCAAGACUCAAAGAAGAGAAAUGACUUGUGUAGGGCCACACAAAUGUUAAUGACAGGGAGGAACUUGAACUCCAUUUGUCCCAUGCCAGGGUAGAGCAUUCCCUAUAUCACACUGAAGCGUAAGUGUGGCGAUUAUAGAAGGCUCCCCUCAGCCCCAGUUAUUUAAUCCCACAUGCUAGGUGGAACCAAAACUGCCAGAACUUUUAAACAAGUCUGAAGUGAUCCUCUGGAAAGUUCCAUGAGCUCCUGGGCAGAAGAGAUUCCUUGAGGAGUAGCCAGCAACACCUCACUUACCUGUUAAGGUUGACACAGAAGGAGAUAUUUUGUAAAAAUAAAAUAUCUAUAUCAUUGUUCACACACCUCAAGCUUCCAAAUUUCAAAUGAAAUAUUUACAAAUUACAUUGCAUAUCACCCUGUGUUCCUACACUUAGAAUGUCCAAUACAGCUUACCCAACCUUUUGUUGUAAAAUCAUCGUAGACUUCAUCUUUAGCUCACAGUCCUCGGGGCUCUGCCCACAGGCUUCCAGACUGCUGUGCCUCUUGGCUCCUGGCUUUGUUCUGCUCCUGUUGGUGCACUUACCUUCCAGGGUCUCUGCCCCUCUUCUAUCUUGCUGAUGCUAAUCUGUUCAGGAGUGAGGAACUAAUCCAGAUAACUUGUCGAUUAGAUUGGCUAAGCUGGAGGAGGUGGGUUUGAAAUAAAAUCUUGGAUAACUCUUCUAGACUUUCUAACAUCUUCUGGAUGUGUGGUGGGGCUAUGGCUGUGUUGCUCAGAUGGCUUUACCAGAAGGGCGCCUGCCUUGCUCAGUUGCCAUGAAUGUUGGUGAGCAAUAACCUCUAUCUCCACUGAAGACUUCCCUGAGCCUCCAGAAGCUGCUCCCCUUGAAAUUCCCCAAGGUUAUCUCCUCACUUGUGGGCGUGGCUUAUAGCCAACUACUAAUAUGGAGGCGUAAAGCACACAGGCCUCUUCCCUCAAGGUGGGACAAUUCUGGAGGCUCUCCUUGUUCCUUAGCUUCCCAUGGGAUCAGGCAGGGACUUAUCUGCAACUAAAUCUGUGUGUUGGUUUUGCUUGUCCCCUGUCCUGUCUUGCUUCCCUUAGCCCCUUCUUCUUUUUUUUUAACAUUUUAAAAAAUAUUUUUUUAGUUGAAGUUGACACAAGAUCUUUAUUUAUUUUUAUGUGGUGCUGAUGAUCGAACCCAGGGCCUCACACAUAUGAGGCAGGCUCUCUACCAAUGAGCUACAGCCCCAGCCCUUGCCCUCAGCCCCUUCUAGGUUUCACUUGUGAGCACUUUCAGAAGACUCUCAGCUUCUAAUUCCAGGGACUCCAACCUACAAGGAGGCUUCCCCUGUUUCCCCUCCCCAUAUUUCCAUAUUCUUGCUAUAUUGGAGAGAUAAGACAGCAAAAGAACACUGUUCUCUUCCCUUUCUUUUACCCCAACCCUACAUCAACAAAGGAAAGAAAUGUAAUCAUGAAAGAAAUAAUGCAUGAUGACACCAAAAAAAAAAUCAUUUGCAAAAGAUAUAUAAGAAAUUUAAUUAUUUGUCAAACCUUGACUUAAAACUUACCGAAAGAGCCACUGUAGUCAGAUCUGAGGGUAUAGAUGAAACAGAUACACUCACAUCCUCUCCCCCUUUGGAGAAGCUCACAGUCUGAUGAGGUAACCAAGUGAGUAGGACAAUUACCCUACCUUGCCAUCAAUGCUAUCAUUGAAAUCCGAAUGCAUUCGUUCAUUGAAGAAAUAUUUUAAACAUCCACUAAGUGUUUAACUGUGGGAAUAUAAACAAUGCAGAACAAAUAACUGCACAGCUUAAAGUCUGAGACAUGAGAGCUUUUCCUUCAGCAAUGAUCCUGGUGGAGUUGAAGAAGGUUGGGGAAGGUGUUUGGAUUGAAGGGCAAUGUCUUAAAAGAGCGAGGUGUUUGUGGGGACCUGGGGAAAGUUUAUCACAGCAAGAGAUAAGGAGAAAGCAGAGAAAAAGGCCAGGAUGGAUAUGCAGAGCUUUAUCUGCCAGGCUGAGAAGUUUAGGUUUUAUCCUGUAGGUAAUUUGGAGCCAGGAAUGUGGCUCAGGCCACUUCAGUAGGAGCACGACUAUCAUCUGCAGGGUAAAGAAGGGAAAGGAUUGGAUGCAGCUGGGUGGACAGCUGACUUUUGCAUGUAAUGCACAAACUACACAAUGGCAUAAGACAGCGCUAAUGACCUGUGACAUCGUAGCUUAGUUAUAUCAUCAGUGCACCAAUACGUGUGUCUUUCAGGAGGACAUUGCAGAAUUAAGUUAAUUAAGUUCUUACUCUUGAGAUUUUGAUUUGAAAAAGAACCUAAAAAUUCUCCUGCUGAGCACUCCCUAUGUUUGAGGUGUGUAGCUAACUAGAUAUGACUUAAUAGGUCCAGAAACAUCCAAGAGAAUCUCUGUCCCCAGGUCUUACAUGUUGUCACGAAUAUCUGAGAAGCCAUCAUUGCAGAUUCAUCCCUUGUAACUCAUCAUCCUCUCAUCCAGCCUGGGAGAUGAGAUUUCAAAUUUGGGUAGGAGGGGAGUGGAAAGAUUAUGAGAGAGAUUAUGAGUUCACUGUGGCACAGAAGAGGUGGAAAUAGUUGCCAUGGGGAAGAGAGCUGGGAGGAGGGAAGAGGCUUGAGGGCGGGAAUAAACCUUCAUGAUCUUUCUUUCUUUCACAGUAUUGCAGGGAGCAGGUGCCGUCUGAUCAAAUUCAGUUAAAUAACACAGUACCAAGUAUUCUGAUUAUUUGAUGAUUACAAGGAAAAUAUAAUUUCCCCAUAUAUAGAUGAAUUCCUUCCAUUGCUUACAUUUUCCCUAGUAAUAAUAAAAAACAGCAACAACAAUAAACAUGGUUUAGAUAGUUAUUACAUGCCUGACAGUAGGCUAAGAUUUCUUCCUGUAUUUAUCUCAUUUCAUUGUCCCCCCCAAAUGACAACAGAAGUAUUAGCACUAAUUAAUCACUAUGGAGAAGGAAAGUCAUGUGUUCAGAGUUACAUAACUUGUUGAGAAUGCAUGGCUGGAGAAAGACAUACCCAGGUCAUUCCACUCUGUUCCACUACCAAUGCUUCAACUAUUGCCUAUGUGACAUCCCAAGUAUGGCUGUUGCUCCUUCCUCCACCAUUUCCAAACCUUUUCACCCAUGUCAAGUUGCCUUCAUUCACUUUAACAUUACCGACCACCUCUCAGGUGGGUUGUACCCUUAUCCUCCGUGUAGCUUUCUAGCUGAUUUCUACCUUCUUUUAAUACUUUCGUGCCUUUAAGGUAGGCAAUAAAUUUUCUCAUGAAUAGAUAGAUCUGUAUGUUUUGCUAAAGUUUUUCAGUGACUUUUGUUUUGUUUUCUCUCCCAAAGGUUUUAGGUGAUUGCUGAGUAGGGAUCAAAUCUUCGGUCCUUAUCUCCUCAACUGCACCCACAGUGUUGGGUUGGAGGCAGGAAGCCCCUGACUCUUAGGCCCUGACAUGGCCGAGAUGCGCCCCCCUCAGAGGCCGCAUUCGUAGGAAGAAGAAAUGCAUGUGUGGAUCUGAUAAGGUCCCAGUGAUAUCUGGAGAAGAUGUCCUAUUAGUGAGGAUCAGCGAUGUUUACCAUUUCAGUGCACAGAAGCAAGCCAAGAUAACAGUCGGAGAGUCUGUGGACAGAAGUUCAUGGAGAUCACUGCUUGACAGGUCAGGGUAAAGGUCUCUUUCUUUCAAAAUAUGUGAAGGGUCAGGAAACGUGUGUACCAGGUGUUUUGUGUUCAUGGCUGCCUGGGAAAGAUAAUUCUGUCUGCUCGAUAAGAACAUUGUGCUCCACACAUCAGGUUGUUUUUUUCCAACAGCUAUUUUCUGCCUAUAAAAAUGAGCGCUGCUGGCUCCCAACUUCUUUCCACAAAUCCCUCUGGCUACAAACAAUAACAAAAGGUAUCUUAUAUUUAUACAAAGCUGUCCUCGGAAAAGCUCAAGGACCUGAACGAAGC